rnacentral:rRNA from 1 species
CGGACGGGUGAGUAACACGUGGAUAACCUACCUAUAAGACUGGGAUAACUUCGGGAAACCGGAGCUAAUACCGGAUAAUAUAUUGAACCGCAUGGUUCAAUAGUGAAAGACGGUUUUGCUGUCACUUAUAGAUGGAUCCGCGCUGCAUUAGCUAGUUGGUAAGGUAACGGCUUACCAAGGCAACGAUGCGUAGCCGACCUGAGAAGGUGAUCGGCCACACUGGAACUGAGACACGGUCCAGACUCCUACGGGAGGCAGCAGGC